rnacentral:misc_RNA from 1 species
GUCAACUAAGGACAAGGACCAAAAGGUUUUCCAAUCCUUCAAUGGUUCGUCCCAAGAACAUAGAGGGAGAAUCUAAUAUUCCUGUUAUUAGGACACUUCCCUUGGCUUUUAUCCUUAGGCUCUUUCCCAUCGAAGUCCUUGUUUGGCAGGUGCUCUUCGGGCAGAUUCCACUUCGAAAACACUUUUUGUUGACUUGACUUUAGGGUCCAGGUGGAAGUAGUCAGAAGUGCUGAAAAGCAGAGCUAUUUCGAUCAGAAAAAAAAAGAGCUUUCCCCAUCUUUCACAUACAUACCCCACGAGCACCCUCUAUUACCGAAAACCUUUCUUAUUUACAAAACGGGGGCAGAGGAAAUUACGAAGACUUCACUUCAAGGAGAGAAACGUAGGCACGAGACCUGCUCUUCCAUGAUCCUUGAUUACUUUUGAAGAAAGCAAGCCAGGUUUGGACGUUCAAACAGUAAGGGUGAGAAAGUUCU